rnacentral:rRNA from 1 species
CAGUCGCCACGGUAAUACGAAGGGUGCAAGCGUUACUCGGAAUUACUGGGCGUAAAGCGUGCGUAGGUGGUGGUUUAAGUCCGUUGUGAAAGCCCUGGGCUCAACCUGGGAAUUGCAGUGGAUACUGGGUCACUAGAGUGUGGUAGAGGAUAGUGGAAUUUCCGGUGUAGCAGUGAAAUGCGUAGAGAUCGGAAGGAACAUCUGUGGCGAAGGCGACUAUCUGGGCCAACACUGACACUGAGGCACGAAAGCGUGGGGAGCAAACGGGAUUAGAUACCCGCGUAGUCCCUGUCUCUUAUAC